rnacentral:sRNA from 1 species
CAAAUUAAUUUACUCUCCUCAAUGGCUAUCUAACGCCCGCCAGGCGGCAACCCUUUCUUGCCGCCUUUUUC